ACUCAAAGGAAUUGACGGGGGCCCGCACAAGCGGCGGAGCAUGUGGAUUAAUUCGAUGCAACGCGAAGAACCUUACCUGGGCUUGACAUGCGCUAGAUAGCCGUAGAGAUACGGUUUCCCUUGUGGUUGGUGUACAGGUGGUGCAUGGCUGUCGUCAGCUCGUGUCGUGAGAUGUUGGGUUAAGUCCCGCAACGAGCGCAACCCUUGUCCUAUGUUGCCAGCGGGUAAUGCCGGGGACUCGUGGGAGACUGCCGGGGUCAACUCGGAGGAAGGUGGGGAUGACGUCAAGUCAUCAUGCCCCUUAUGUCCAGGGCUUCACACAUGCUACAAUGGCUGGUACAGAGGGUGGCGAUAUCGUGAGGUGGAGCGAAUCCCUUAAAGCUGGUCUCAGUUCGGAUCGUAGUCUGCAACUCGACUGCGUGAAGUCGGAGUCGCUAGUAAUCGCAGAUCAGCAUUGCUGCGGUGAAUACGUUCCCGGGCCUUGUACACACCGCCCGU
rnacentral:rRNA from 1 species